rnacentral:rRNA from 1 species
GACGAACGCUGGCGGCGUGCCUAAUACAUGCAAGUAGAACGCACAGUUUAUACCGUAGCUUGCUACACCAUAGACUGUGAGUUGCGAACGGGUGAGUAACGCGUAGGUAACCUGCCUGGUAGCGGGGGAUAACUAUUGGAAACGAUAGCUAAUACCGCAUAAUAUUGAUUAUUGCAUGAUAAUUGAUUGAAAGAUGCUAUUGCAUCACUACCAGAUGGACCUGCGUUGUAUUAGCUAGUAGGUGAGGUAACGGCUCACCUAGGCGACGAUACAUAGCCGACCUGAGAGGGUGAUCGGCCACACUGGGACUGAGACACGGCCCAGACUCCUAUGGGAGGCAGCAGUAGGGAAUCUUCGGCAAUGGACGAAAGUCUGACCGAGCAACGCCGCGUGAGUGAAGAAGGGUUUCGGAUCGUAAAGCUCUGUUGUAAGAGAAGAACGGGUGUGAGAGUGGAAAGUUCACACUGUGACGGUAUCUUACCAGAAAGAGACGGCUAACUACGUG